UACGAAGGGGGCGAGCGUUGUUCGGAUUUACUGGGCGUAAAGGGCGCGCAGGCGGCGUAUCAAGUCAGACGUGAAAGCCCCGGGCUUAACCUGGGAACUGCGUUUGGGACUGGUACGCUAGAGAUCGGGAGAGGAGAGUGGAAUUCCCAGUGUAGAGGUGAAAUUCGUAGAUAUUGGGAAGAACACCGGUGGCGAAGGCGGCUCUCUGGACCGAUACUGACGCUGAGGCGCGAAAGCGUGGGGAGCAAACAGG
rnacentral:rRNA from 1 species